rnacentral:rRNA from 1 species
UACAGAGGUCUCAAGCGUUGUUCGGAUUCAUUGGGCGUAAAGGGUGCGUAGGCGGCGCGGUAAGUCGGGUGUGAAAUCUUGGAGCUUAACUCCGAAACUGCAUUCGAUACUGCCGUGCUUGAGGACUGGAGAGGAGACUGGAAUUUCUGGUGUAGCGGUGAAAUGCGUAGAUAUGCGGAGGAACACCGAUGGCGAAGGCAAUCCCCUGGACCUGUACUGACGCUCAUGCACGAAAGCGUGGGGAGCAAACAGG